GACACAUUUCGACCAAACAAGCCAGGGGUGCGAUUACCGCUCUCGGAUGCAAAGCCACUAAUGGAUGCACGAUUUUACAGUGAUCAAAGGUAGUCAAACUAUAGAAGAUUAGCAGAUUGGUGGUGAAGAAGAUCAAUGUUUGACUCAGAAGUUUUGGCUACAACCACAUUAGGAGGGUGGUGUUUGUGGUUGCGAUUCUGGUGGUCAUUGUUUGCAAACGAUGGCGGUGAUGGCAAUUUGGAAUACUGAAUUGUGGAUUAGGGUUUAUUCUGGUAUGUGUUUUCUUCUUUUGUUAGGCUAAAGAUAUGGAAUUUUCAUUAAAGAUACAUGGAAUUUUCAUUUUCUUGGGCUUUAGUC
rnacentral:lncRNA from 1 species